rnacentral:rRNA from 1 species
GCCAAACAGCUAGCUUAUUCACCAAUAAAAAUUUUCACCAUAAACAAAAAAUUAACCUAAAACCAUAAAUUAAAACAU